rnacentral:lncRNA from 10 species
AGUGGCGUGCUGCUGUAAGGAUACCGGAAAAUGUGGAAGCAACUUUGGAACUGGGUAACAGGCAGAAGUUGGAAUAGUUUGGAGGGCUCAGAAGAGGAUAGAGAAAUAUGGGAAAGUUUGGAACUUCCUAGAGACUUGGAGGGCUCAGAAGACAGGAAGAUGUGGGAAAGUUUGGAAUUGCCUAGAGACUUGCUGAAUGGCUUUGACCAAAAUGCUGAGAGUGAUGUGGACAAUAAAGUCGAGGUUGACAUGAUCUCAGGUGGAGAUUAGGAACUUAUUGGGAACUGGGGCAAAGGUGACUCUUGGUAUGGUUUAGAAAAGAGACUGGCAGCAUUUUGUCCCUGCCCUAGAGAUUUGUGGAACUUUGGACUUAGUAGAGAUAAUUUAGGGCAUCUGGCAGAAGAAAUUUCUAAGCAGCAAAGUGUUCAAGAGGUGACCUGGGUACUGUUAAAAAUGUUCAGCUUUAUGUAUUCACAAGUAUAUCAUUUGGAAUUGAAACUUAUCUUUAAAAG